UACGGGGGGAGCAAGCGUUGUUCGGAUUUACUGGGCGUAAAGGGCGCGUAGGCGGUCAGCACAAGUCAAUUGUGAAAUACUCCCGAGCUUAACUCGGGAAAGGUCAACUGGAAACUGUGCGACUAGAGUGCGGAAGGGGCAACUGGAAUUCUUGGUGUAGCGGUGAAAUGCGUAGAUAUCGAAGAGGAACACCUGCGGCGAAGGCGGGUUGCUGGGCCGACACUGACGCUGGAAGCGACGGAAAGCCCAGGGGGAGCGAACGGGA
rnacentral:rRNA from 1 species